rnacentral:rRNA from 1 species
UGCCAGCCGCCGCGGUAAUACAGAGGGCUCGAGCGUUAAUCGGAAUCACUGGGCUUAAAGGGUGUGUAGGCGGAUCUGUAAGUAUCUUGUGAAAUCCCACCGCUCAACGGUGGAAUUGCUCGGUAAACUGCAGAUCUUGAAGUCGGUAGAGGCUGUCGGAACUCUAGGUGGAGCGGUGAAAUGCGUAGAUAUCUAGAGGAACGCCAAUGGGGAAGCCAGGCAGCUGGGCCGGUCUUGACGCUGAGGCACGAAAGCAUGGGUAGCGAACGGGAUUAGAUA